GAUGAACGCUGGCGGCGUGCCUAAUACAUGCAAGUCGAGCGAACAGACGAGGAGCUUGCUCCUUCGACGUUAGCGGCGGACGGGUGAGUAACACGUAGGUAACCUACCUAUAAGACUGGGAUAACUUCGGGAAACCGGAGCUAAUACCGGAUAAUAUUUCGAACCGCAUGGUUCGAUAGUGAAAGAUGGCUUUGCUAUCACUUAUAGAUGGACCUGCGCCGUAUUAGCUAGUUGGUAAGGUAACGGCUUACCAAGGCAACGAUACGUAGCCGACCUGAGAGGGUGAUCGGCCACACUGGAACUGAGACACGGUCCAGACUCCUACGGGAGGCAGCAGUAGGGAAUCUUCCGCAAUGGGCGAAAGCCUGACGGAGCAACGCCGCGUGAGUGAUGAAGGUCUUCGGAUCGUAAAACUCUGUUAUUAGGGAAGAACAAACGUGUAAGUAACUGUGCACGUCUUGACGGUGCCUAAUCAGAAAGCCACGGCUAACUACGUG
rnacentral:rRNA from 1 species